CUCAUUUUUCUUUCACUGACUGGAGGCAGAUGAUGAAUUUGAAGCCCUGACAAAGAGAAGGCAAAAUCAGUUUGUGUCCCUGAGUUGCUAAGUGGAGAAGAAACGUCCACCAACCAGGAAACACCUGCCUCCAACUGUUAAUAGGUCUGUGAAAUGUGCUUUGUUUCUGGUCAGCAUGGACACCCGCUUUAAUAGUGGCUUCAGAUGAGGCACCUUGUGACAGAGGAGCUCUUCCCCUGCAACCUUGAAGAUGUUGUGGAAGACAAUAGCCAUUCUUACUUCACUCUGAGGAUCACGAUGGCGUGCAAGGGUGUGCCAAGCACAUUGCUAUCUUUGGCCAUUCUCUCUCACAUUAGUACACCUGGAUGUGAAUGGCACGUUAUCUAUGUAAGCAGUGAUGGUCUCUAUCUGGUGGUAGAAAUGACAGAAUUACACACAAUCAGGACAGCUGAGAUUCCAUUUACUAGCUCAGUAAUCAGAGAAUAUGUAUGACAUCCCAGCAAAAAAUGUUGAACAUGUUCAGAUUUCAUCAUAUCAGCACCACAGUAUCAGUCUUACUGGGAGGUGCUCGCAUUCAGUUCCUGGCUACUGAAGAAAUUUUGCAGGAGUUCCAGAUAACUUACUUGUCCCAUAAUAAUGAAAACUAUUACAAUUAUGCUAAAGAAGAAUACUUAAUAACACAGUAAAAAUGUUUAUGAUGUCUUUUAAUUUCUAAAGCAUGUUAUAAAAGUAUUACAGUAUGAUCUCAUAUUUGUAAGUAAAAUAUAUAUUAAUUCAUUUAGCAAAUAAAUAUUAAGCCCCUACUAUGCACAUACCAAUAUAGAUAUUGGUAUUUGUGUGGGUGUGUGUUACAGCAGAUUUUAAUUUUCUUAUUUUGUAUUUUCUGAUUUAUCUACAAUGAAUUUGUAUUAAUUUGCUAACAAAACAUCACUAUUAAAAUAAAUUUUUUUUGAAUUAUAAGAAAAGGCUAACAUCAUAACAAUAAGGUUGUAUAGAAUAAACUGACAACACAGAAGUUAUUUUGGCCCUGUGUUCCACAGUGACUCACCAAAUAUACCCUGCACUGUUUAUUUUAUUUUUUUCUAUUUCACUAUUGAAAUGAACAGAUGCAUUUCACGUCACAUGGAUCUCGUGGAAACAUGCCAAACAUUUUCUUAGCAACCAAACUCCUGUCUUCUGCACUGUGCAUGAUUAACUAAAACAGCCUGUUGACGGCUUAAAAUAAACCUGCCUUUUCCAUUUAGCAUUUUAUCAAAUGAAUAUAAUUUCAUUUGCUGAUGAAUUUAGUUCAGCUUCAAGAGAAUUUUUCUUUUCUUCAUGGGGAGGCUGAAGAAUCAGAACUGUCAUACCAAAGAAUGAAAAGCAAGCCUAGGGAGAACAAGACAGUCUGAUGUUUACAUGGGGUUAACUUAUUUGAUCAGUGAAAUCAGAAAAGGAUCAUUCUGCAUUCGUGGACUACUCUCAUUGACACACUCGCUUACCCAUCUGAAAACAGCGUGAGUUCUGUGUGGAAACCUCCCUGAAUCAUACAAUGAACACAGUCUGGGUUCCUGAUUUGUAUCUGUUACCCUUCAUGGAAAUGGCUGGUGAAGCAAAACUAUGUGUGUAAAACUGCAUCUGCCACAGGCUGCUUGUCCACAAAAGCAGCAAAGCAUCUCUAUGGAAUACCUCCGUAUGGAUCUGUAAAGAAGAGUCCCACUUCAGUCAAAGACAGUAGAUUAUGAGGUAAGAUAACACGUGUAGUUUUUAAGAUUCCAUACUGACAAGCUUCUGUUGUUUUAAAAAAAAGUUUUGGGUGUUGAUACAGAAAUUAAUGCUAAAUAGAUAAUGAUCUCCCUCUAAUGACAUGCUUCAUCAUGUUACUUAUUCUCUUCUCUCAAAAAUACACGAUGUCAUUUAAUCUUCACAAUAAUCUUGUAAGAUAGGAUCAGCUCUAUUUCACUUCUGGAAGAUGUUAAGAAAAGUUAAUUAUUUGACAAAAGUUGUAAUUAGCAAUUGGCAAACACUCCAACCCAACUUCUGACUCCAAAGUCAGUGUUUUUACUAUUCUACUCUGGC
rnacentral:lncRNA from 1 species